rnacentral:rRNA from 1 species
AGUGAACGCUGGCGGCAGGCCUAAUACAUGCAAGUCGAACGGCAGCACAGUGGAGCUUGCUCCAUGGGUGGCGAGUGGCGGACGGGUGAGGAAUACAUGGGAAUCUGCCCAGUCGUGGGGGAUAACGUAUGGAAACGUACGCUAAUACCGCAUGCGCCCUUCGGGGGAAAGUCGGGGACCGCAAGGCCUGACGCGAUUGGAUGAGCCCAUGUUCGAUUAGCUAGUUGGCGGGUAACGGCCCACCAAGGCGACGAUCGAUAGCUGGUCUGAGAGGAUGAUCAGCCACACUGGAACUGAGACACGGUCCAGACUCCUACGGGAGGCAGCAGUAGGGAAUAUUGGACAAUGGGCGCAAGCCUGAUCCAGCCAUGCCGCGUGAGUGAAGAAGGCCCUCGGGUUGUAAAGCUCUUUGUUGGGGAAGAAAAGCAGUUGGUAAUACCCGAUUGUUCUGACGGUACCCAAAGAAUAAGCACCGGCUAACUUCGUGCCAGCAGCCG